GGGGAGGCCUGGGGAGGAGCCUGCCUCUCUGCUCAGCCCAUUUCCUGAGAGCCUCCUGGGGCAGGCUGAGAGCAGGCCCUCUGCAGAAGAGGAGGAGCCAGGAGCCCUGAGAGCCCAGAGCAGAGGGAGGGACAGCCUGAGCCCAUGGAGGGGGCUGGAGAGCCGUGGAUGCAGCUCCAUGUCCCCUGGUGCAGGGAGCGGUCCUGAGUCAGGGGACUUCCCUGCAACUCAGGGUUCAGUGUUCCCGCUGCUGCCAUGGGCUUGUCCUGCGAUGCAGCUUCUGUAUUCUCACCCUGAACCACCUUCCUUUCACAGCUGUCAGUAAACUGUGAGGCACCCACAGCAAAGCUGACAAGCACUGAACCGGCUUCAGUAAAAGAUUAAGGCCCCCAGUACAUAGUUAUACAUUCUAGCUGUGAGUGCCUCUGGUUAUGGUACGUGGGACCACACCUCAGCAUGGCCUGAUGAGCAUUGUCAUGUCCCCACCCAGGAUUCGAACCUGCGAAACCCUGGCCACUGAAGUGGAGCAUGCCAACUUAACCACUCGGCCAUAGGGCCUGCUCCUAUAAAUGUAUUUGGACACAUUUACAAUAUUCAUAGUAGAAUGUAGAAAAAUGCCUCCCCCAUCAUUGUUCCGGCCUCUCUCUCAGGUGGUUCAUUUUCUGCCGUCCUAACAGACAGUUGGGAAAGGAGGAAGGGAGGGGACUCCGGCUGCUCUUCCUUCUGCCUCGGGGACCACACUGGCAGGGACAUGAGAUGUCGCAGCACCUUUGCAAGAGAACGUUCCAGGUGGCUAUGCAGGAAGCAACUCAGUGCUGCGGAGUGCCAGCACAUCCCUGCUGGACAGGAUCUUGGUUUAAAGGUGAGAAAGGAGAAAAUGCUAUCACACUAGAGUGGAAAGAAAAUUCUUUAAAAAGGAAUAACAAAGUACCCCACUAGAAUGUAAAAAGAACUAUAGAGCUGCAGUAAUAGAAACAGGACACCGCUGUCGCCAGAAUAUAUCCAUGGAACAUAAUGUACCCUGAGAGAGAGAGAGAAGGAAAGAAAGAAAGAGACGAAGAUAGAGAGAAAGAGAGAGAGAAGAAAAAGAAAAUAUUAAAUUACAUCCUCUAAGCCUAGUGUUGCUAGUGAUAAUUAUAAUAUUGUUUAUAUUAUACUUGUAUGAAUUUACGUUGAAAAUUUAAAUCCACAUUUUUAGAAAUGCAGAUUUAAAAAUUUGAAAUUUUAAUAAAACCCCUAUGACCUAUAAUUGAAAUCUGUUUUUUCCUAAAAAAAAUACUUAUUGUUUUUAGCUAUCUACUGAAAAAACUAGAAACCAAUAGCCAUCUAGCAGUAAUGAGCUCUCCCAGCAUCUGUCCUGUGGCUUCAAAUACCAUUUUUCACUGAAAGACUAGGGCUCAAUUAUGAAAUGGCUGAAUCCAGGACUGGGAAGGAGGUGGACAAGGUCAAGGACAUCUCAUCUCGCCUGAAAGCAAAGAAGCCACGAGAGACAACUGAGGUCACAUCACAGGACACAGGAGCCAGCUCACAGAGUCUCUCACUGUGCACAGAGAAGACAAUGUGAGCACAAAGAGAAUAAGACCUAUGCAAGCAUGUUAAAGACACACAUAUAUAUAAAAACACACAGGCUCACUGAUGAGACUCAAAAUUAGUAUGUCAACUGUGGGGUUGCAAUGGCACCAUCGCAUUGUUCUGAAAAGGGAAAUAAAGAAGAAUCAAACAUUUCCCUUGCCUUUUCUGUACAAACUUUUCUUCAGGAUACGACAGAGCUUAUGAAUGAAAGUUCUUCUUUAGGGGAGUAUUACAGCAAGUAAAUGCAGGAGACAUAUUAAACUUGGAAAAUUACCGUCACGCAGCCCUAAUGAUGUCCUGGACUAGACAACUACCGUCAAUGGCUGUACAGCUCUGCCUCCUGCACUGGCUCUCUCUCCACCAUUCUAUGUCUCUAUCUCCCCCCUCUGCUGUCUCCAUCACUCUUUAUAGCCCUCCAUCUCUCCAUUGCUAGGUCCACACUCUUUCUUUUUCUGUUUUUUAUUCUCCAUCCCUCUGUGCUUUUCUCUCUAUGUCCCUUUACAGCUCUGUCUCCUUCUCUACUUCUCUUUAUCACUCUUCUUUCUUUCUCUUUCUCCUUAUCUCUCUAUAUUUCUGUCUCUGUAUCUCUCUAUCUUUACUAUCUAUCUUUCUUUUUCUAUUUCUUUACUUAUAUCUUUGUUAUCUGUGUUACUUUCUCUCUCUCUCUCUCUCUCUCUCUUUCUAUUUCCUCCCGUGGUCAUAACAGCUACUUUAAAUUCUCUGUUAUCCCAACCAAGAUUGUCAUCUGUUACUGGCUUUUCCAUUGUGAGAUGUUGAGAUUUUCCUGGUUCUCCACAUGUUGAGUAAUUUUGGUUGCAUUCUGCACAUUUUGAAUGUUGUGUUAGGGGCUCUAGGCGGUGUUUGCAUACUAUGGGGGAUAUUGAGUGUUUUGUUUGUAGACAAUUGACCUAGUUAGGGGUUGCAAAUUCCCACCUGCUGUUGGUGGGUAGUUCCAAUCGAUGCAGCUUUCAAAGGCUUUGUAGUGCUAUUCAGAUCUGUCCUGUGUGAGCGCCUCCCAGUGGUCAGUCUAGGACCCGGGCUGUGGUUUACCCCUAGAUCAGUUUGCGAAGUCAAUGGUAGGAUAUUUAGGGUCAUAUCUAUGUCUGCACAGUGGGGGUAAACCCAUUUGUUCAAACACCAUUGUGUGAGAUUUCUUUCUCAAACUCUCUCCUCUCUGCAAUCUCUACAACACUUUCCAAUUCACAGGGAUCGCCCAUUCCUGUCCUCUGGCCAGAUAAGUGGGACUUUAGCAUACUUUCUCUGCUGUGCAUUUCCUGCAACUGUGUCUGCUUUCGGGGCCAAGCAGGGAGAGGAUAAAGAGAGGACAAAAGCCACCAGGAUUCUCUUCAUGCUCAGAGACCUCAGAACAGGGGUUAUAGUUGCAUUCCAUGAGAGAAACAGGGUCAAAUGUGCUUUGUGCAAAUUUUCCAGCCGGAGCUCACUCCUUGCAACGUGAAUUCACAGCUCCUCAAUCAAGAAGUGCAGUUUAUUUCCCCGGUUUUUGAACUUGGGAGAAAGUUAUGGGGAUCCAGUUCUGAUUCUAGGCCUGAAGAGGCCUAAUGCACUUCUGCUCACUCUCUUGGAUCCCCACCAUUGUCGUGAGAACAAGUCCAGGCUGGCCUGCUCGAGGAUGAAAUACCACGUGGAACAGAGCUGAUUCAUUCCAGCCCAGGCCACCUUGACCAGCCAGCCCCCAGCCAACCCAUCAACUGACCAAUGUGACCAAAUCCAGAUGAGCUGAGCCCGAUCCAGGUCAGCAGAACAGCCUAGCCAGUCAAUUGGCUUGUGAGGAUUAAUAAAUGAUUGUUGUUUUAAGCCACUGUGUUUUAGAGUGUUUGAUAUAAAGCCUUAUUUUCCAAUAAGAUAGAUAGAUAGUUAGAUAGAUAGAUUUCUUGUUAGUACCAUUGAGUCAAUUCCAACUCCUAGCAACCCUGUGUCAGCAGAGCAGAACGCUACCCAGUCUUUUCGUGCCAUCCUCCCACCCUCCAGCGCUAUAUUGCACAAAGCUCCACUGCUAUACAUAGGGUUUUCAUGGCCAAUUUUUUGGAAGUUGUUGGCCAGGUCCUUCUUAAGGUAAAUAAACAGAUAGAUAGAUAUAGGUACAUAGAAAGAGACUAUAUAUAAAGAGAAC
ensembl:lncRNA